rnacentral:lncRNA from 1 species
UGAAACAAGGCAAAAUGGGCGAAACAAUUGGAUGCUAAUCAAUACUUAUAUUCCUGUGAUUUCAUACACCAAAUUGAACUUCGUAUCACAUAUGCAUACUGUCAGUCAUUCCAAAAAGUUGACUUAGUGCUCAGUCACUUUCCCUCCAAUAGACCCAUCAUGUUGUCAAAAGCCUAAAACUCAUGUGUGAAGCUCACAUAUCUUGGAAUACAUAUUUGUAGAGACAAGGUAUUUCCCCAUUACUGCUACCACACCAACCACACCACGUCAAAUGCCUUACUAAAUUCAGCACCAUUCACCCAUAUGAUAAAGCAUCAGGAAAUUUACCUCGACCUGAGGAGUAAGGC